rnacentral:rRNA from 1 species
UACGUAGGGGGCUAGCGUUAUCCGGAAUUACUGGGCGUAAAGGGUGCGUAGGUGGUUUCUUAAGUCAGAGGUGAAAGGCUACGGCUCAACCGUAGUAAGCCUUUGAAACUGGGAAACUUGAGUGCUGGAGAGGAUAGUGGAAUUCCUGGUGUAGCGGUAAAAUGCGUAGAUAUUGGGAAGAACACCGGUGGCGAAGGCGACUUGCUGGGCAGCAACUGACGCUGAGGCGCGAAAGCCAGGGGAGCAAACGGGAUUAGAUACCCGUGUAGUCCCUGAGCGGGCU